UUAAAGGCUUUGAACAAGAGUAGUAGUAUUUUUUUAUUUUUAAGAGAGCUGUUGUAUGGUGUGAAACAGUAAUAAAUAAUAUGAACUCGCUUGGGAGCUUAUUUGCAGAAAAGCAAGUACGGCUUAUGUCGUUAAUUUUUUAAGUGAGGUAUUUUCCUAACUUGAGUGGUACCGCGGAAGUAAGGCUUUCGUCUCAAUA
rnacentral:ncRNA from 1 species